ACAGCAGCAGCCGCGGUAAUACGAAGGGUGCAAGCGUUAAUCGGAAUUACUGGGCGUAAAGCGUGCGCAGGCGGUUUGUUAAGGCAGAUGUGAAAUCCCCGGGCUCAACCUGGGAACUGCAUUUGUGACUGGUAAGCUAGAGUGUGGCAGAGGGGGGUGGAAUUCCGCGUGUAGCAGUGAAAUGCGUAGAUAUGCGGAGGAACACCGAUGGCGGAGGCAGCCCCCUGGGCCAACACUGACGCUCAUGCACGAAAGCGUGGGGAGCAAACAGGAUUAGAUACCCCAGUAGUCCCUGUCUCUUAUAC
rnacentral:rRNA from 1 species